AAAAUUGGUAUUUAUUUUUUUGUCCUAAAUUGAUACGUUAACUUUUUUUCUUUUUUAUUUUCCUUUUCCUUUCCUUUUUCUUUUUCUUUUUCUAGGCCUGCAUCUUUCUUCUUUCUUUCUUCCUCCCGUCGGAACGCUCGUCUCCACCCAGAACUAGAUUACCCAAUGCCUCAUCUCCAUCUGAUCUCUGAGAAAAUGAAAUCAGCGACAACUCAGAACCCGGUGUAAAGAAGAUCCGCAACCAGAAGAAGCGCGAGGCUUGUCGCGUUGCUCGUUAGGGCAUGGACCUUGCUUCCUUCUCAACCCCUCAAAUCAAACGUAUCCUCAAGUGUAGUGCAACCUACAAACAUAUAUGUAUUAAAAAACAUUUUAAAACUUUUCAAAUCAAAUGGUACAAUACUGAAAGCUAACAUCUUUGUUUGUUUUAAUUUCUUUUACGGUUUUUCUCUCGAACAAGAUGUUUUCGAUGCUUUAAUGCUAGUUAAGGUACUUAAGGAAGUGCAAGUUUUAUAAUUCUGAAGCUUCUUCGUAUUUCACUGUAAAAUAUGUUAUUGUAGAUAAGGUGUUUGUGUUUUGGUUGCAAAGACUAGGGCCUGAUGUUCGAGAGGGAAAACGAAGGCAGUUCAAUUAUAUUGGGAAACUGCUGAGAGAAGUAGAACCUGAAUUGAUGGAAGCUUUGAUCCAGGCUACAAAAGUAGAUGACCAGAAAACAUUAUAGGCUUUAGUUGGUUCAAAGACACAAAUCAUUGAAGAAGAUGAUGAAGAUGACGACCAAUUUGAAUAUAGUGUAAUUCAAGUUUUGAUUUGAAGACUUAUUGUAGGCUUAAACUGAUUACACCUGUAUGUAUAUUCUCUUACUAUUGUGCUAUUUUUUUUACAUGCAGCAGUCAUAGGAGUUUGUUAACACUGCUAAUAGAUUGUUUGAUGGGUUGAUCAGCAAGGACAUUGAAUACUAAUGAAGUAUUUUCAGUUAGCAGUGUCAAUUUUGAUCGUCAGGUUUGACAGGAAUUGCGUAAACUUGUUUGUAGAGUUAAGAACAAAUAUGAGUGAAGAAGAUAAGGAAAAAAAUAGAAGCAGCAGUAAGGAGUGCCAGAAAGACCCUCGCUCGGUUUCCUCGUACCGUCGCCAAGCAAUUGAUUACAGAAGAGAGUUUUGAUUAAACUGAUUGGUAAUACCAUUAUUUUGUACCAUAAUUAAGUUCAUUUUCUUAUGCAUGUCAUAUUGCAUACGAUUAAAGUCUUAGAAAUCGCAAAAUGCAUGUUCUGUUAACAAACCAAUAUAAUGAAAAGAACAAUUUUUUUUUUUUUUCCUUUAGGUGCCCAUCUCUUGCAGUGUUGAAACGAACACUUUCUUAAUUUGUUGUAUAGCCUUCUAUUUCUAAACCA